GAUGAACGCUGGCGGCGUGCUUAACACAUGCAAGUCGAACGGUGAAGGCGGAGCUUGCUCUGCUGGAUCAGUGGCGAACGGGUGAGUAACACGUGAGCAAUCUGCCCCUGACUCUGGGAUAAGCGCUGGAAACGGCGUCUAAUACUGGAUACGAGCUGCGAAGGCAUCUUCAGCAGCUGGAAAGAACUUCGGUCAGGGAUGAGCUCGCGGCCUAUCAGCUUGUUGGUGAGGUAACGGCUCACCAAGGCGUCGACGGGUAGCCGGCCUGAGAGGGUGACCGGCCACACUGGGACUGAGACACGGCCCAGACUCCUACGGGAGGCAGCAGUGGGGAAUAUUGCACAAUGGGCGAAAGCCUGAUGCAGCAACGCCGCGUGAGGGACGACGGCCUUCGGGUUGUAAACCUCUUUUAGCAGGGAAGAAGCGAAAGUGACGGUACCUGCAGAAAAAGCGCCGGCUAGCUACGUG
rnacentral:rRNA from 1 species